rnacentral:lncRNA from 1 species
AAACCGAUGAGAGGGAGGAAGGAACAGCGGGGCAAGCAAUGGCAACACAGAGCCAGUCACAGCCUGUGGACUAAAAGCCUCAGAGAGGAGGGACACUGCAGCUCAGGUAGCCGCUUGCCUCAUCCGGGGGGUGCGGGUAACCGGGUUCCACCUCACCACCCCUCCUCAGGGUCACCGACACGAAGGGUCCUGCAGCACCAGGGAGCUCCCCCACCCUCACGGAGGUUCUGUGCCUCUUCAGGUGGGCACAUUCUCACGACUGCCCUGAGCCCUGCGUUGGAGAAAGGACACGACCCCAAAGUGGAACAGUCUCCUCAGGAGGAAUUGAGCACCGACGAUCCACAGUGAGAAGGGACAGCAUUUAAUGGAACUAUGGUCUCUGCACAAAACCAACUGUGAGGCUGUUGAUGCCCAGGUUCCACUCAGUGCUCAAGAACAGGGGAGCUCUGCGGCCCAGGGUGUGGAUACUGUGCCGUGGCUGGUUUCUCCAUGUCUGUGAAGGCGGCCGCACCCUCCUUCCCUAAACCACAGGCUGGGGCCUCUUGAGUGGGUCCCUUGACAGAAGGCCUCAGGUUGUGAUUCCUGUCAUCAAAGUCCUGGGCAAGGCCAGGCCCCAUGGGCGCCGAAUAGAGGUGAUUCCCACCUGGGAGAUGGAGGGUCUUCUGGGAAGCUGAGCAAGCCUGGGGGAACGGAGCCCUCCAAAGCAGCAGUGUGAAAUCAGAAACCAGUUCCCACACACUUGCCUCUUGUUAGAACAUCCUCCUCACUGGCUGAAGAGAAACUAAGAGAACUCCUGGAAGAGCUGGCUCAGAGAUUUAAAUAGGCCAGGCCAGACCAGACGCACGGCCAGAAUCGCCUUAGAGAAGACAAGACGGUGUGGACUAGGGGCCAGUGAGCAGACUCGAAAGAUGCCACUGUAGCAAUAAGGAACCUCCAUGGGAUGGGAACUUUUACCUUAAAAUAAAUAUGACUGGGGCUGGGAAC